rnacentral:rRNA from 1 species
AACGAACGCUGGCGGCAGGCCUCAAACAUGCAAGUCUAGGGGGUGUAGCAAUACAUCACCGGCGGACGGGUGCGUAACGCGUGGGAAUAUACCUAUUGGUUCGGAACAACACAGGGAAACUUGUGCUAAUACCGAAUGUGCCCUUACGGGGAAAGAUUUAUCGCCAAUGGAUUAGCCCGCGUCCGAUUAGCUAGUUGGUGAGGUAACGGCUCACCAAGGCUCCGAUCGGUAGCUGUUCUGAGAGGAAGAUCAGCCACACUGGGACUGAGACACGGCCCAGACUCCUACGGGAGGCAGCAGUUGGGAAUCUUGGACAAUGGGGGGAAACCCUGAUCCAGCCAUGCCGCGUGAGUGAUGAAGGCCUUCGGGUUGGUAAAACUCUUUCGACGGGACGGAUAAUGACGG